UUAGCCUCAGUCGCAGAAAGGCGAGCAAAAGGAGGGGGCAAGUAUUCAAAUAAUAGUCCUCACCUACGGAUGAACGUAGGUAAACGAGGAGUCACAAUCAGCCCCUAUCGCGGAAAGGCGAGCAAAAGGAGGGGGCAAGUAUUCAAGUAAUAGUCCUCACCUACGGAUGAACGUAGGUAGACGAGGAAUUACACUUAGCCUCAGUCGCAGAAAGGCGAGCAAAAGGAGGGGGCAAGUAUUCAAAUAAUAGUCCUCACCCACGGAUGAACGCGGGUAGACGAGGAGUCACAAUCAGCCCCUAUCGCGGAAAGGCGAGCAAAAGGAGGGGGCAAGUAUUCAAAUAAUAGUCCUCAC
rnacentral:lncRNA from 1 species